GAUGAACGCUGGCGGCGUGCCUAAUACAUGCAAGUCGAGCGAACAGACGAGGAGCUUGCUCCUCUGACGUUAGCGGCGGACGGGUGAGUAACACGUGGAUAACCUACCUAUAAGACUGGGAUAACUUCGGGAAACCGGAGCUAAUACCGGAUAACAUGUUGAACCGCAUGGUUCAACAGUGAAAGACGGUUUUGCUGUCACUUAUAGAUGGAUCCGCGUCGCAUUAGCUAGUUGGUAAGGUAACGGCUUACCAAGGCAACGAUGCGUGGCCGACCUGAGAGGGUGAUCGGCCACACUGGAACUGAGACACGGUCCAGACUCCUACGGGAGGCAGCAGUAGGGAAUCUUCCGCAAUGGGCGAAAGCCUGACGGAGCAACGCCGCGUGAGUGAAGAAGGUCUUCGGAUCGUAAAACUCUGUUAUUAGGGAAGAACAAAUGUGUAAGUAACUAUGCACGUCUUGACGGUACCUAAUCAGAAAGCCACGGCUAACUACGUG
rnacentral:rRNA from 1 species